UGAGGAAUAUUGGUCAAUGGGCGCAAGCCUGAACCAGCCAUGCCGCGUGCAGGAUGACGGUCCUAUGGAUUGUAAACUGCUUUUAUACAGGAAGAAACACUCGGACGUGUCCGAGCUUGACGGUACUGUAGGAAUAAGGAUCGGCUAACUCCGUGCCAGCAGCCGCGGUAAUAA
rnacentral:rRNA from 1 species